GGAAUAUUGCACAAUGGGCGCAAGCCUGAUGCAGCGACGCCGCGUGAGGGAUGAAGGCCUUCGGGUUGUAAACCUCUUUCAGUAGGGAAGAAGCCGAUCUUCUGGGUUGGUGACGGUACCUGCAGAAGAAGCGCCGGCUAACUACGUGCCAGCAGCCGCGGUAAUACGUAGGGCGCAAGCGUUAUCCGGAAUUAUUGGGCGUAAAGAGCUCGUAGGCGGUUUGUCGCGUCUGCCGUGAAAGUCCGGGGCUUAACCCCGGAUCUGCGGUGGGUACGGGCAGACUAGAGUGCAGUAGGGGAGACUGGAAUUCCUGGUGUAGCGGUGAAAUGCGCAGAUAUCAGGAGGAACACCGAUGGCGAAGGCAGGUCUCUGGGCUGUAACUGACGCUGAGGAGCGAAAGCAUGGGGAGCGAACAGGAUUAGAUACCCCAG
rnacentral:rRNA from 1 species